CUCAAGUAAGGCAAGUGGGUUUGGCCCAUCAGCUUCUUGCCCAUCUUCGGAAGCCUAGCAGCCGCCAGUGUCUUAGCUACUGCUUCUGACUCUUACAGUGGCUUCUUCGAAGCAGCCGCUGCAAGAGAAUAAAGCGAAGGAUCCCAAGCGGGACAAACUGUUUGAGCACCGUUAUUGAGAAAUCAAGCGAAUAUAUGUGAAUAUCUUGAUAUGUUUAAAGCAAAUUCAGCUGCUGAGGAAUCCAGAGUUGGCUCUGAGAAACUGUUCUCCAGACCAGUUAGAAUUUCUCUCUGAAGCACCUCUAUAUUUGGAGAUUGAGCAAUCCCUGGGUUUUCUUGACCAUUUAAUGUUGGGAACCCCUGCUUCUCCUGUGAGAAAAAUCCUGCUGGAGAGUGGUCUGGGCGAUGUUCUUGUUGGUUGCGGGGGGUUGAAGUGGGCUCCUCCAGCCUCAGUUUAGUAUUGGACUAUACUCUUGGAGUAUAAUUGUUGAAACUUCAGUUUCAUGGUAACUCUCAUCAUCAAAUCAAACGUUAAAUUUGAUAUGGCAUGCGGUGUCAACAGCCAGUCAUUGCUGGAGAUGGGUACUAAAGAUUUGGAUUUUGUACAACUGAACCAAUUAAGGAAAAGCUGGUGGGAUAUCACUAUAUUCUUUCACACCAUCAGUUCGAGGGAAGGAGGAGCCCUGCAGCCAUAUAAUUGUUCGAGGGUGAGGCAAAGCUAUGUCAGGACG